rnacentral:rRNA from 1 species
AACGAACGUUAGCGGCGCGCCUAACACAUGCAAGUCGCACGAGAAAGGGCUUCGGCCUCGGUACAGUGGCGCACGGGUGAGUAACACGUAGAUCAUCUCCCCUCGAGUGGUGGAUAACUCUCCGAAAGGAGAGCUAAUACAGCAUGAGACCACGGCUUCGUUGAAGCUGCGGCCAAAGCAGGCCUCUACACGUAAGCUUGCGCUUGAGGAUGAGUCUGCGGCCCAUCAGCUAGUUGGUAGGGUAAUGGCCUACCAAGGCUAAGACGGGUGGCUGGUAUGAGAGGAUGAACAGCCACACUGGAACUGAGACACGGUCCAGACUCCUACGGGAGGCAGCAGUGGGGAAUCUUGCGCAAUGGGCGAAAGCCUGACGCAGCGACGCCGCGUGAGCGAUGAAGGCCUUCGGGUUGUAAAGCUCUGUGGGGAGGAAAGAAUAAGGGUUGGCUAAUAUCCAGCUCGAUGACGGUACCUCCUUAGCAAGCACCGGCUAACUCUGUGCCAGCAGCAGCCGCC